rnacentral:rRNA from 1 species
UACAGAGGGGGCAAGCGUUGUUCGGAAUUACUGGGCGUAAAGGGCGCGUAGGCGGACAGUUUAGUCAGAGGUGAAAGCCCAGGGCUCAACCUUGGAAUUGCCUUUGAUACUGGCUGUCUUGAGUUCGGGAGAGGUGAGUGGAAUGCCGAGUGUAGAGGUGAAAUUCGUAGAUAUUCGGCGGAACACCAGUGGCGAAGGCGACUUACUGGACACAUAUUGACGCUGAGGUGCGAAAGCGUGGGGAGCAAACAGG